ACGCAGCCAAUCAUACAAUCAAUCCAAUGACAGGAAGUUGUACCAGUGCACUCGGAGAACGGUGGAGAUCGCCAUUUAAACUAGCUUACUGUCUUCACUUCUUUCCUUCUUCCCCCCCAUUCAUUUAAACUGUUAAGUGAGGGAUCUUCAUCCUACCUUGAUAAGCAGAGAGCAGUCAUCCGUUUGGCCUUACCUUGAUAAGCAGAGAGCAGCUCAUCCGUUUGGCCUUACCUUGAUAAGCAGAGACAAGUCAUCCGUUUGGCCUUACCUUGAAAGCAGAGAGCUCAUCCGUUUGGCCUUACCUUGAUAAGCAAGAGCAGUCCAUCCGUUUGGCCUUACCUUGAUAGCGAGAGCAGGUCACCGUUUGGGCUACCUUGAUAAGCAGAGAGCAGUCAUCCGUUUGGCCUUACCUUGAUAAGCAGAGAGCAGUCAUCCGUUUGGCCUUACCUUGAUAAGCAGAGAGCAGUUCGAGCUCAAUCUGUUUGGUGCUUGGUCGAAAUGAAUGAUUUCCCCUCCUGAUAGACACAGUGAGAAAGAACAGUACCCAAAUUAAACCGAUUUAUAUUUUAAAUAUGUAGCAUAUAAACAUUUUUACCACAUGUUUUAGUCUUAGUUCAGGACAUAACUAAGAAGAAAGUGCUGUCCACUACGGUUAGAGAAAACAUUCCUAACCGUGUCCACACAGCUGUUUCUCCUCAUGUAUACCAGACGAGAGAGAGAAAACAGUUCCUAACCGUGUCCACACAGCUGUUUCUCCUCAUGUUAUACCAGACAGAGAGAGAAAACAGUUCUAACCGUGAAAACAGUUCCUAACCGUGUCCACACAGCUGUUUCUCCUCAAGUUAUACGAGACAGAGGAGAGAAAACAGUUCCUAACCGUGUCCACACAGCUCUGUCUCCUCAUGUUAUACGAGACAGAGGAGAGAAAACAGUGAGUCAUUCAACUAUUUUUUACUUACUUUAUACUCAGACACCUCUGGUGUGUAGUUCUCUGUCAGCUCCAGCAGCUGUGAACAC
rnacentral:lncRNA from 1 species